rnacentral:rRNA from 1 species
UACGUAGGGUGCAAGCGUUAAUCGGAAUUACUGGGCGUAAAGCGCACGUAGGCGGAUUGCUAAGUCAGGGGUGAAAUCCUGGAGCUCAACUCCAGAACUGCCUUUGAUACUGGCGAUCUCGAGUCCGGGAGAGGUGAGUGGAACUGCGAGUGUAGAGGUGAAAUUCGUAGAUAUUCGCAAGAACACCAGUGGCGAAGGCGGCUCACUGGCCCGGUACUGACGCUGAGGUGCGAAAGCGUGGGGAGCAAACAGG